AACAUGCAAAAACUGACCGUUUUUGUACCUGGGCCGAGUUGUCCCCUGGUCCGAGUUAGCCCGACUCCCAAUGGAGAUAUAAUAAAGAAUUGAUAGCAACAUCUUAAACUUUCUUGUCAUUUAAAUACAAUGAAUUAUUGUUUUUUAAAUGUCACCAUUUUCCUUUUAAGGUGCUGUGCAUGCAAGUACUGAGGCAACAUGUGCACCAUCUGAAGGCAGUGCUGCGACAUCCAGCAGUGGGGAUUUCCCGAGGAAGACUACCACUGACACAAGGAAGAAACGGAGGCAAACCAAAACAAAAUUCGGUGCUCUUCAGAAUCUAGAGGAGGUCAAGUCCAAGUCAGCGUUAGUUUUCAAGGAAGCUGUUCUCCAGCUGAAGUCCAACGAAUUCUACCAAGAAACAGAAGUUGGGCGCAAAGUCAUCGCCCUAGCAGACGAGAUAAAUUUUCAUUCGGAAAUUGUUGAAGGAUCUGUGCGGGACAUAGUGCAGGACAUUGUUGAAAUAAUCAGUGCUGCAGAGGACAAGGCAGCAGGACCGGUGGCCAAUACCUUCAUCCUGACCAAAUUCCAGACUUACAAGUGUGGAAGUCGAGCGACUCAAUUAUGCCUGGCAAUGCUUUCUAUGGAGGAGCCGUCCAUUCCCUUUCGUUUUCUCCAGCAGUAUGUUCUCCGUGUUGUCCUUGAGAAGCUGAUGAAAAUUAUCAGGGGCGAUGGGUUUGAACCGGAGGAGGAGACAAGUCCGUUGUCAGUUCACGAUGAACAAGUUUUACGGUAUGUAGCCGGGUACAUACCGUACGCCCUCUGCAAAAAGUUUGGCCGGAUGAAGUCACAGAGUGCACUUGCAAUAACGGCAUUUCUGCGUGAGUGGAAGAAGGACGACGAUGACAACACAGAGUCCGACACUUUCCUACAGUACACAUCAGUUUGGUUGACUUUCCAGAACAGAGGGGGGCUGUUUGUUGUGUCAGACACUGUCUACAAAUUGUUCAGAUCUUUGGAGCUGGUGACAAGGAAGCUGCUCACUCUUGGAAAUAGUGAGACAGAAAGUUUGAAAGACAGAUUGUUGAAGCACAUUUUUGGAAGCGUACAUGUACAGAACAUGUGGUGCAAGGUGGCAGGCAGUCUAGACACGAAUUUGUCGGAACCUCUCUUUUCUUCGAUUGUAAACUAUUGGGUGAAGAUCAGAAUAUCAUCGUAUGUGAAGUUGUAUGUCAGUUCACUCAAGAGGGAAGCAAAAAUCGCAACUGGAAAAAAAAAA